AAGAAUUGUGCAGUUGGUUUAUUUUGCAGAAAGAGUAAAAAUGUUUACUUUGUCAUUGGUGGAAAGUAUAUUAUAAAUCAGACUUUCAAAACAAGAGUAAAAAUAUGACAGAUGAGUGACUGUACAAUCAUACAUCUUUGAAAAGCAGUAGUAGAACCUCCUGCACAGCUAGCAAGAAUGCAGCAAGAGGUUUCUGGAUGCGGAGCAUCUGAGAAAAGACACAAAGGGAUGGAUGUGUGUUGUGGGACUCACGUCUCUGAGCUUUCAGCUUCCAGUACAGAUUGCACAGGCAGGUUGUCUGCCGCCGUCCAGGGAAGCGAGUGGAGGAGGGGGUGAAAAGUGGAGGUUGAAGCACAGGGCAUGGAUGAUUGAAAGACAAAUUGUGCUGCUUUAGAGUUGCCAUCUCCAGAGAAAACCUCAUGUAAAAUUUAUCCACUUUUUUUCUUCCAAUACUAAUGUUUCUUUCUAUCCACUGUCUCUAGAUUAUUGCUCUGUUUAAAAUCUUCCGGUUUUCAUCAUAUCUGUUUGAGUAAUUUUUAUUUGCUUUCCUGCUGCAAGAACCGUACUCUGUGAUAUAAAAACAUUUUUGCAGAAAAUAAAAAUACUGUUGGGAUUUUGAAUCUUGAAAUUUAACAGAUUUUAUUAUAUUUGCGCUCACUGUACUGAUGAUUCAUGGGUUUUUCUGAAUAUUUGUGCUCCAAACAUUCCUGAACCAAA